CACCGAGUAGCCGACAGACUCUGGGAAAAUAUUCGAAAUGACAGACAAAAUACGGAAUACAUAUAAAUAUACUCUUAAAAAUUCUAAACGGAAUUAGCCCCAUUACACUCACACUUACACCGCACAACAAGAAUAACAGCAACAGGAAUAUUAACAAAAAGAGAAUAGCUCGCAAAAUUUGCAUAUCUUGACGAAAUAAAAUGCCCAUCCAAACGAACGAGAGUCCCGACAAUGGGACAACAGGGCUGCUCGAGCUGGAGGUUAUUGAGUGUGACCCAGACUUAAGUGCCCAUCCAAAGAACAUUGGCUGGAAUCUGAAAGAAUCUAGCACAGAUCCGCCAUCCACACCAAACAUUAAGAUGCACAAUCAACCGGCUGGAGCAGCGCAGCCGACGUCCAGUUUUCUGGCCGAAGUGCAAGUAAGCCACAAACAGAUCACUGAUCGGUUUGUCGAACUGCUCAAUCUCUUCGAGGACUACUCGAAGAUCAUGAAAGAGAGCGAGAAGGCGACGCAGCCGAAGUUGAAGCGCACGCAGUCCGAGCAGUUUACAGCUACGCAUAUCCAAGUGGAAGACAGUGAUUGCAGUGAUCAGGUGAAGACCAGUGUCAGUCUGAACCGUAUGCAGCUGUCGGACUGCACGUUACUCUGCACGCUGCCCAAGUUCACCUGCGAGAUGGCCAGCCAGACUCAUUGGCCGGAUGGAGUCGAGAAGAAGAAAGUGCUGAAGCCCAACUUGGAGAAGUUAAAGAAAACGGAGCCACUGCAACAGUUGCUGCAAGCUCAGUCGCAUACCCUGCACAUUGAGGUAGAGUCGAUUAGCUCGUCGACUGCCCUGCAGCGCGCCCCGCUGCGUCAACGUCUAUGGCAAGUGUUGCACGAUGCAGGGCAAACGCUGAUCGCCUGCUUGGCCAUGAUGGGCGAGAACUUCACCUAUGUCCUCUUCGUGCUGCUCUGCCUUUGGUGUCUAUAUCUGAUCAUCGCCCACUAUUAUAGCUUCCUCGAGGGGAAUAUCAAUCACCAAAUGGAUGUGAAACACUCACUCAAUCGCGUCCACUCGUAGCCGCGUGCCUCUGGCCACCAAGUUGGUCCUUUAAUUAUUAAUGAUAAUUCAAAUGCAGCAUUAAUGAAAGAUAAAUGAUAACCAAAGGAAGGUGUACACCUUCCUUUCAUUAUCAGUCUUUCGGAAGUCGAAAAAAUGAAUUUGAAGAUCACUUUAGGAGAGAAUGCCGUUAAAAAGAUCUGUUACAGAAUAAAUGUCAUUUUAUCAGAUGCAAGAUCUCUACCUAUCAGCCUGGAAGAGAAGAAGAACUACAACAGUAUAAA